UACGUUUUCAUUCAUUCAUAGAUAUCAUUGGGGAGAUCACGGCUGUUAAGAGUUCUGUCAGUGACCCUCCGGCAGACAAUAAUCACUUGAUGGCGACCAUCAAACUGGAAAAGUAAGUAAUUAAUAAUUUUUUUGAGCCUCUUUAAAUGAAACAUAUCUCAUGCACCCUCUUUACUGCAACUACCGUACCAAUCACAUUCGUAUCAGUUAUGUAUUGAUGUGUGCGUGACUUUGAGUUUGUUUGACUCCCAUGCUGUUUCGUUUCACCGCAAGCUGGAAUCCAUGCGAGGUGAACCAAGAGUUGUUGUUGCGACGAGCUUAAUCCUAAAAUAGUUUGAGGCCGUUUGUUCCUUAAUGCAACCUCAGGAACACACAUUUAUUUCGAUAAAGAUACUAUUGUAGGAGAGGUCCCUCUUUUACAAGUUGGUCUCCACAGACACUGUGCUUCAGUCAGCAGCUCCACUUCUGAAAGCAUCUGCCAAGGUUGAGAAUCUGACAAUAUCCGAGCUUAAUGAGUUUGUCAUAACUGCUCCAUCUCAAGUACUACCUUUAGCCUUAGGAUU